rnacentral:tRNA from 11 species
UGCUGAGGUUGGGUUCGAACCACGGACCUGCCAGUCCGUUAGCUGGCACUUUAACCGCUGAGCUACAUUCAGC